GCCAUCCAAAUCCAGCCCAUCUUAUCUUACCGUUAAGGGUCCGUAUGAAAUUAUUAUAACUUUUAAAUUGCAAUCCUAUUCCCAUUAGGAAACUCGCCAGAUGGCUUCUCGGCACGGCUCGCCUCGCAAUUUCGGCUCCGGGCGGAUGGGUUCGCGAUCAGGUCAGAAAACCAAACAUUUGGGGCUGGGAAUUGCGCAGUUGGAAACCAGGUUUUGAGAAUUGAAUGAACUUCACUCACACCACAACAAAGGAGUGAAGAGUUUCUCCUCUUGAUCUGGAUGAGCUUGUCAAACACACACCAUGGAAAGCUCAGGAAAUGAUCUCUUUCCAUUCCCUUGUUGCAGCAACCCCAGUAAUCAGGAUGAUAUGUAACAUGGUACCAAGCUGAUGCUUUUGCUGCUUGUACAUCAUUAAUAUCAGGCUUCAUAUCCGACUGCAUUCCCAGCUUCUCAUCAAACCAGGUCCUAGCUUCCUUUAUCAAUGCCUUUAUAGCGUAA